CCACACAGUGAGCCACCCUGAACAAGCCUGAUCCUGUCUGAUCUCGGAAGCUAAGCAGGGUCGGGCCUGGUUAGUACUUGGAUGGGAGACCACCUAGGAAGACCAGGUGCUGUAGGCA
rnacentral:rRNA from 1 species